AUGUGAUAUGUUCUUUAACUAUUAAUUUAGAUGCGUGGAUUAAUUAGUUACGAUGAUCAAGGGUUGGACAUGCUUAUGGUUCUUGUCAGGUUAAAGUGACUACAAGUAAGAAAAGAAUGAUGGAUACAUGAGAGAAAUCAUCCAAUCUGUCUAAGGGGAAAGAAAUUGCUAUAAAUGAGAAUGCUAGUAAGAAAAGAAAGAUGGAGACAACAAAGGAAAUUGUCAAAGGGCCAGCAAAUUGGACAGAUGAUCACAACAAACAUUUUGUUGACAUCUUAUUGGAGCAAGUACGUAAAGGGGUCAGAAUAAACACUAGUUUUAGUCGGGAUGCUUGGAAUAUCACUUCAAAGCAGUUCAAUGCAUCGAAGCAGACCAAUUACGAUAUGUAAGCAAUUAAGAACUAUUAUACGGCUUUGAGAAGUGCAUGGAUUACAUGGAAAGUAUUAUUGGCAAAUAACAAUUGGUGGGGAUGGUGUUACCUGAUAAGCAACCCAACAGCCAAACAACAUUGUGACGACUUCAAAGCGAAGCAUAAGCAAGCCGUACAAUUUUUGAAGGGACUACUAAAGUUUGAGGAAUUGGAUGAACUUUUUUGAGGGAACUGAUGUUGAAGGAAAGGAUGCUAGGUGUGUCUAAAUGAAGAUACAAAGAUACUCAU